UACGGGGGGGGCAAGCGUUGUUCGGAAUUACUGGGCGUAAAGGGCGCGUAGGCGGUUUGUUAAGUUGGAUGUGAAAACUGUGGGCUCAACCCAUAGCCUGCAUCCAAUACUGACAGGCUAGAGUUCUGGAGGGGAUAGCGGAAUUCCUGGUGUAGCGGUGAAAUGCGUAGAUAUCAGGAGGAACACCGGUGGCGAAGGCGGCUAUCUGGACAGAGUCUGACGCUGAGGCGCGAAAGCGUGGGGAGCGAACAGG
rnacentral:rRNA from 1 species